CAAUAGCGUAUAUUAAAGUUGUUGCAGUUAAAAAGCUCGUAGUUGGAUUUCUGGUUGAAGCGACCGGUCGGGCGUUGAUUCGUCUGCACUGGAGUCGGUUUUGGCCAUCCUCUAGGAAAGUGCGUCUGGUAUUAAGUUAUCGGGCGUAUGAUCCUGGUCUUUUACUGUGAAAAAAUUAGAGUGUUUAAAGCAGGCCUUCGCCUUGAAUACAUUAGUAUGGAAUAAUAAGAUAGGACUUUGGUCUAUUUUGUUGGUUUGCAGACCGAAGUAAUGAUUAAUAGGGAUAGUUGGGGGUAUUUAUAUUCCGAUGUCAGAGGUGAAAUUCUUAGAUUUUCGGAAGAUAAACUUAUGCGAAAGCAUUUACCAAGGAUGUUUUCAUUA
rnacentral:rRNA from 1 species